rnacentral:rRNA from 1 species
UACGUAGGGGGCAAGCGUUGUCCGGAUUUAUUGGGCGUAAAGAGCGUGUAGGCGGCCAGGUAGGUCUGCUGUGAAAACUCGAGGCUUAACCUCGAGCUGUCGGCGGAAACCAUCUGGCUAGAGUCCGGAAGAGGAGAAUGGAAUUCCCGGUGUAGCGGUGAAAUGCGUAGAUAUCGUGAGGAAGACCAGUGGCGAAGGCGGGUCUCUGGACAGUUCCUGACGCUGAGGCGCGAAGGCCAGGGGAGCAAACGGG